rnacentral:rRNA from 1 species
UGUUACAAUGGGGGGUACAGAGGGUCGCUACCACGCGAGUGGAUGCCAAUCCCCAAAACCUCUCUCAGUUCGGACUGGAGUCUGCAACCCGACUCCACGAAGCUGGAUUCGCUAGUAAUCGCGCAUCAGCCACGGCGCGGUGAAUACGUUCCCGGGCCUUGUACACACCGCCCGUCAAGCCAUGGGAGCCGGGGGUACCUGAAGUGCGUAACCGCGAGGAGCGCCCUAGGGUAAAACUGGUGACUGGGGCUAAGUCGUAACAAGGUAUC